ACCAUGGAAGAGGAGGCAGAAAGAGCAUAAGAGUCAGAGUGGAUGGAAGACACCAGGAGAACAAGGCCCCUCUGCAUCAAUUGAGCAAGGAUCAUAAAAUCUCAGAGACUGAAGCAGCAAGCACAGGGACUACACAGGUAGCACUACAAAUUGCAAUCCAUCAAAAUAUCUCAGUCUGUUAUUCCCUUGAGCUGCAGGACCCCAGGACAGAUAAAUGAAGUUAAAUGUGGAUUCACUGGAUGUUCUGAAUGCUAAUCUACAAUUGACUGGAUGCACUGCCUGAAAGAUCCAUCAGUGAGAGUAAAAGAGGAAGGUGAAGGAUCAAGCAGAAAGGUGGAAGGCACAGAUGAAAACAGAAGAAUUUCCAUAGACAACAAAGGCUAACAACAAGAUCUGUGCCUGUGGUCUCUAGGAUAAAGCAAAUCCAUAAGGCUCGGCCGAUUCUCCUCCAACUUAAAACUUUCAAGCUGCAGGAAGACAACCCAUGAACCCUUGCAUGGGUCCAGAAUGCCAAAAAAGCAAGCUUGGGCACUUCUGCUGUUAGCCAUCCUGAACUGUUUGUUCAUCUCAGCCUGUUGCUCUUGCCACACACUGCGCUGGAUUCUGUGGUAGGGAGGGGACACUUGUGAGCCUGGUGGCUGAGCUGGGUGGGUUGGGGCUUCUAGGCUGCUGAGCUGUGGAGAUUUUGGGGCCCUUGCCUGCCCGCAGCUGGCUGCGAACCCCUGGUCCGGGGGACCCCAGUGUACGCCACCUGGCCGCCGGCAGAUGGUGCCCUGCACAUCCCGACAGUCAGGGAGACCCGGCUAAAGUAAGGCUCAGACUCCGCCCCAGCCAAUCCACCGGCGCAACUGUCCCCCCCUUCCUUCCCAAAACAGCGGAGUACGUCUCCUUCGGAACACUGCAGUAGCCUGUGUGUGUGUCGAAAAUACAAACUGUGGGG